rnacentral:rRNA from 1 species
ACAUGCCUACAACAUAGCGUUAAUGUAUUGGAUCCCAUUAAAACUCUGCAGUUAAGCGCACUCAAGCUAGAGUAGUACUGGGAUGGGUGACUGCCUGAGAAGUCCUAGUGUUUUACAUGCC